GCCCACAUUAAAACCGCCGGAGGCUGUCACGCGCCGACGCCGCGCUGGUCUGGGGCUCUCACCGUGCAAGGCAAGCAUUCGGUUUCGGGCCGCGCGCCCAGGUUUCCUCACACAACCAGGCCUCGCGGAGGGUACAGCCCCUCAGCCGGCCCCCGCUCCCGAAGCCCCUAACCACGAGCAUCACAAGUCCAGGCUUCCCGGCAGAGGCCAGAACCCCACACUGAAGAGGCCGCAAAGGACUGGGCCCCGCGGCCCCGCACAACCUGGUCCGAGGCCCAGAAGGCCGAAGCUGAAGCCGUGGGGACACGGGGAAAACAAGUCCCUUCCCAGAACGACCGAGCUGCCUCGGCCCAGCGCCUGGGCUCCGCUCCCGUCGAGUCUCUCCCCGCGCAGGGCGCGGCCUGGCGCUCAGCCCCCGGCCCUGGAGACCCAGUCUGGAUGAGCACAGCCCCACCCCCACCCACGCCUCCACCGGCCCGUGGGCCCCGGGCAGGCUACACCGUCUCCCUAGGACCUCAGUGCCGGGAGCACCGCUUACAGGCUCAGAACCCCAGUCUACGGGACACGCGGCGCCGGGAGCCACGCGCAGGCCCUACCUGGAAGAUGGCGGUUCCGGCCGAAAGGAAGGAGGCGGGGCGGCAGCGCGCUCCUUACAAGGGCCGACGGGCUGCCCGCAGCACUGCCUGAAUGAAAUGAGAGGCGGACGCAGCUUCUCUGGGGAAGGGGGUCCUGCUCAGAGAACAAGGAGGGCCUGUCAGAAUAUUUUUCUUUCCUGUGGAAAAGAGGCAAUAGACCAACACAAGCUGACAUUUGGAGCUUUCCAGACAGCCCGGAAAGGGGCCUUCCAGGGCGUCCAACACGACGCCGACGUCCCGAGCGUGCCGACGUUCGCCUUUGCGCUGAGCUUACGCCGGAAGCGCGCGUGCGUCGGCGUCGGCGUCGGCGUCGGCGUCGGCGUUGGCGUCUCCGGGGGCCCGGGAGAGGUUGGUGUGAUGGCGCCUUUGCGCCUUUGCGGGGCUAGGAGCUGCUCUGUGUUUGUUUGCGGAAAUGAUUACGUGGACACGAGAGACAGAUUGUAAAUGAGGCAAACGUAUUAUUCCAGUUUAUAUCUGUCCAAUGGAGAGAGUGAGUGAUAUGGGUAUGAUGUUACUGAUUCCAACAAAAGGGUAGCAUCCAGUGCAGAUCCCUUCAGACUUCUCUUGGAGUCUUCAGAGUUGGAUGCCUGAGAAGAUGGAAAAUCUUGGCUGAACUCUGGAGAGCAAGCAUGCCCCUUUUGUGGGGUCUACUUUGAGGAAACUUAUCCUAUAAUGUAUGCACACAGCUUCUGUCUAAGCUGCCUUGACUCCUUGGUGAUAUAGACUGACAAAGGCUUUUCACACACAAAGUGCUUUCAGUUAUCCUGGAACAAGUAAAUCCAGGAAAACCUGGCAGCAGGAUACUUGGUGAACCUUUUCAGAAAGUUGGACUCCAGAGUACAGCACUGAACAUGGGCCUUAGGAUGGCAAACUUCUAAUGUGACCGUAACAGAAAACUCAGAAAAUAAUCUCUCUCUUCCUUUUACCUGAACUAUUUUGAAGACCUCUGCUUGAUGUCUUGCAAACAUCUUAUGCUUCACCUGCCUAUAGCAUUUGGUGAGAAAGAACCAGGAUAGGCUAUUUGUUCUCCCCAGUGUCUCGACAUUUCUCAGAUACAGAAGAUCCAGAUCAACAUGGCCCUUGGGAGGCUGGUGACUUCUGGGACUAGGGUACUCAUGCCUGUGGAGAGCAUUUAAUGCUAUAUGCUCAAAUUCUAUGUGAAUACGGAUUCGGAUCCACUAACCAUCACUAACUGUCUCACGUUCCCUGAGACGUGGGGUGUCAGAUGUGGGUGUGUCAGAUGAAGUCUGAUAGAAUCCUGAGACAUUCCUCCCUGGGCUUUUGUCCUUGGCUUCUCCACUUUGCUUCUGGCUACAACUAUUGGAAGAUAGAAACGGGGGAAAGGUAGAAAUGGGAUACAGGUGUUUGCUUAGAGUCUGCACAUUGUCAAGGAACAUUCCCCUAUGUCUUCAGAGCUUAGAUUCCAAGUUGUGAGCCUCAGAGGAGGAUAUGAAGUUGUGUUAUCUGAACCCAGGACCAUUCUCCACAUGAACCUAAACUUCUAGAAUAUGGACCUCUUCCUGGUUUGACCUAAAACCCAACUCAUUUUGUGAUGCCUCUGAUGGUUUCCAUCUCUACAGAUUCAAAAAUGUGUCUGCCUCAGGGCCUUUUUUCAACCUUGUGUCCUAGGACCCCAGGCAAGGGUGAGAAUGUGAAGAUCUGUCCCAAGGGAGCCACAAAUACUGCAGUUUGGCCACACUCACCCUAAGAAAACAUAUAAACUCUGUCCAAAAUAAAAACCAAGUGGGAGGAAACUGCUGACUCCUAUAGGCCCCAGAUCUUUCAUUAUUACAGGUGUUGAUAAGGUUGAGAAUGCUCGUGGGUUUUUUUUCCCCCCUCCUGAUAAGGAAACUCUAGGAUAAAAACAAAACAAAACAACAAAAAAAAACACUGCUAAAAUAAGUCUUCAAUGACUGGCUUAAUUCUAACUGCUAGGUUUUGCUUAGGUUGAGACAGUACAAACCAAAGGGCAUUAUAAUUGUGGUUUUGUGGUUUUAUUUUUACAUGUUUCUGAGAGGACAUAUCCAUGAAUUGCUGCUUUAGGAAGAAACUAUGGGCUCCUUUGUGGACAGUAUCCAGGAUGAAUCUGUGUAAAAUGCCAAUGAAAAUACUCCCAGUCAAAACAUGAGGUGUGUGGGUGAGCUGUGAACAAAGAAAACGUCAUCACAUUGAAAGCUUGAAGUGCCAAGCAAGAAAGAUGACCAAUAAGCAAAUGAAGCAUCCAACUGAACAAGGCAAAGGAGGGCUCAGAAAGAGAAGAUUUUAAAAGGGAAUGUACUUGUAAAGAAAACAAGGAACUCAGACUUCAGAAGGAUUCACUCCCAAAUAGAGGACCACGUUAAAACAGACAACGGAUCACUUGGAUUGAGGAAGGUUCCACUUCAUUGGACACUAGUGCAGUAUUGCAGAAAACGGGAUGUCCGGCUUUGACGCAGGCAUUAAAAGGGGAAAGCACAGAAGGAUUCGUCCAAUAUUUAAUGAUUCAAUUCCCAUUUUCUCCAACCAACUUCAUUAUCAACAUCAAAAUGAUAUUUUCAUCCAUAAACUUGUUAUUCCAUCAUAGCAUAAGGAAAAAAAAGAUUUGAAGAAAUUUUCUUUGAUGUGCUUUUGGUAGGAUUGAGAUUUUCUUAGACCAUAAUUAUGGACCCAGGAGGAAAAGUAUUUAGGGCUUUCCAGGUGGAGACCUAAUCCUAAGAGAUUUCUCUUAGAGAUUAGUGUCCCUGGGUGCCUUGCUUCUAGCAGAACUAUGUCUGUGGAACAGACCAUAUUAUCAUUCUCAUGUUUGUAGGUCUAUUUUUAUUUUAAUAUUGGAAUGGUGGCAAUUUCUGGGGGUAUGCUUUUUUUACAGCUUUGAUGUUAUGAUGACUAAAAAUACUAUUGAUGCAAAAGUUAGAGAGUAGCGCCAGUCAGAGAAAGUUUUAAUGACAAGGUUGACCGAUCUUGACCAUGAACAAAUAUGAAUGACAGACUCUUGGGUCAUGCAUACCCGGGGAGCCAUUCAUCCAAGCCUUUCAGUAACAUUCUGAACUGUUUUUUAAAAAAGAUUUAUUUAUUUAUUCAUGAGGGAGAGAGAGAGAGAGAGAGAGAG